CGCCGCGGGUCGCGGCCAACACCGGGCCCGGGGAGCGGAGGCCGGCUCCCGCCCGCCCCACGGCACAGGAAAAAAAAAAAAAAAACAAAACAACCCAAAAAACCCCACUAAACUUCCUAGAGAAAACGAGUGGAAACGUCCCACCCGCUUCUCCCGGCUGGGGGUCUGCCCCAGCCCUGCGGUCCUUGAGCCUUGGGGAGGUGGGCAAGGCCUGGUGGAAAAAGAGCUGGAUAAUUGGAAUUUGGUCAAUGUAACCUCAGCCUUCCGCCUGAAACACAGGACAUCUCGGAGACAGGCAGCAGCUGCUGCGGACUGAAGACGGGCAAAUUGUGUCAAACCAAGCCAGUUUUCUCGAGUCCCUGCAGUUAGGGGUUAAGCAGUUUUGGGAGCUACCUUGACUUCAGUAAGAUUUGGUCAUCUUUUGAGGAGCUUUGUUCAACCUGUUCUUUUCCCACCUGGGGACAGUCACUUUCCGGCACGGUUUAGCUGCUGCUUCAGUUCUACCCUGGGAGACGCGGCCCGCGGAGCGGAGGGCCCAGCUGCGGCCGGGCAGGGCGGCACCGCUCGGGCCGAGCUCCGGGUGCUUCUGCUCCAGAGACCUUCAGACCUGGGCCAGGGGCUGGGGAAAGGCCCCGUCGUGCUCUUCCACAGAGCAGAAGCACAGGCUCUGAAUCAGCAAAUACUUGCACACUUGGCAUUAGGUACACGAAUAACUGUACUGGAGUUGGUUAAUCUACCCGUGUAAAGUUACUCAAAAGCAUAAGUAUUUGCAAGUAUAAUGUUUUCCUCUGAAUAUUUUACAUAAAUCUUUUUAAAAAUGCA